CGAAGAAGCAUGUUCAGAGGAGAGGAUGAAUCGACCUGUUUGAGGUCACGCAUCUGGUGACCGUUAUGCAUGCUCAUUGGGAAAACAUUCUUUGGAGCGAGGGUUUGCGCUGUAAGGGGACGGUGUGGUCCAAACGUGCGUUAAGUUGACUGAGCGGUGAUGGCACAGGUAUUUGCAACCCAGGCAGGAGACGAUGAUCCCCUUGCAAAGAGUUCACCUCCCGGCCUCUUUUUUCUUCCCUCCUCUGUUUCCGGUUCUUGUUCUUGCAGAACUUCCUUAUUCCCUGUGAGCCCUUCCUCCUGCUCUUACCUCUCGGUGAAGGUGGAUGGUUGGGGCUGCUUGGACCCGUGGUGGUGGUGGUGGUGGUGGGGUCUGAUGGAACAGCCAUCGGCACCCCACUGAAUCACGAGAAGCGCAUGGCCCUCCGCAGACGGGGCAGAGCGCCCCCCUCCAUUGCUCACCGCUUGCCAGCGUUUGCCCCGGUGUUUUUCAUGCUAAGCUCAUUAGUCCCUUAAUUUAAUCUUCCAUCAUUACCAGAGUCAUUAACGUCCCUCGCUGUGGAGACUUCAAAAGAACACGGCUUCAGCAGAUUCCUGCAAAUGAGCAGAUAAUAUUCAAAUAUGCUCCUCACGAGAGCUGUUACUGAUGAGGGUUUGGGUUAGUAGGGUUGGAGUGGUGGCUCUCAAGGGCUGGAGUGCAUACGUUCAUAAUAAACGUUUCUGAAGAUACUUCUGUGAGGGACAAAACAGUGUGUGGAAAACCACCUAGACUGGUAAGAGAGCUGUUUUCUUUGCUGAGAGGAGAAAAUAGAACAGGGACCAAAGUAGAAAAAAAAGCACAUUUGUAGUGUAGACCACCUCCUAAAUGUAAAAAAAAAAAAAAAAGAAAGAAAAAGAAAAAAGACGCAUGGCACAGAAGGCAGGGGUGUACCAAGAAAGGAAAGGAUGGUUUCCUAGGGCUGAUGGGAACCACAGCAUCUUUGUAAAGAUUGAGGUAAUCUGGGCAUCUGGUAAUCUGGGCAUCAGUUUUUUUUUUAAAUAUUUUUGAGAGAAAAAGAGACAGAGCAUGAACAGGGAAGGGGCAGAGAGAGAAGGAGACAGAGUCUGAUAGAGGCUCCAGGCUCUGAGCUGUCAGCACAGAGCCCCACGUGGGGGCUUGAACCCGCAAGCCAUUAGAUCAUGACCCGAGCUGAAGUCGGACACUCAACUGACUGAGCCAUCCAGGCACCCCUGGGCACCCUUUUUAAAAAUGAAGUCAUCUUCCUUCCUUUAUGAUGACUGUAAUAACACAGAUGUCUAGGCUCUUCCUAGGCUGGGAUUGGUCAAGAAUUCUGUUCCUUUCCUAAGCACUGAACACCAGAAAUGGGAAAUGUUCCUCUGUCCCUAAUCCUAAGGCAAGUCUUUCUGGACUCAGGCUCUGCUAUAAAGGCAUCAGGUGGUUAGAAGGAAAACCAGAGCCCCAGCAUGGGGUUUGCAGAUGUUGGAGAUGCGGGGUGGAAAGCUUGCUGCUGUGAACGUAUCCUCCACGACCCCCUGUGGCAGCUGCGACGAGAGUCCUUGACUUCCCUGUCACGCACGGGCUUGGCAGUUUUCGUCUUAACGGCCCCCUUCACUGGGAAUUACAGUGGGAAGCUUCCCUUGAAAACCAGAAGAAGAGAUUAGUUACCCUGUGGUGGCGGCUUAGACAUUUUUGAAGUAAAAUGAGACCAAAGGAAAAGUAGGCAGACUUAACCUUUAUUAAAAAUUGUAUGUAGGGGCACCUGGGUGUUAAGUGUCCAACUCUUGAUUUCGGCUCAGGUCACGAUCUCCUGGUUCAUGAGACCGAGCCCCACGUUGGGCUCUGUGCUGACAGCGUGGAGCCGGCUUGGGAUGCUCUCUCUCCCUCUCUCUCUCUGCCUCACCUGCUUGCGUGCUCUCUCUCGAAAUAAAUAAUCUUUAAAAAAAAAA